UCUCCGCUGCGGCGCUGCCUAUGGUCCCUCUGAACUGUUUGAGGACCAGCUGGAAACAGCGCUAAAGUUCAUCUAAUCCAGGUCAGAGCUGAAUCUAUUCUAGUGGAGUGCAGUCUUAUCAUUUGGCAAUCCUGCAUCUACAAAUUACUGAUACAGCUUGCAGCAUAUAUACUGUUUGUCAUGAUGGGCUACAGUACCGGCAUGGCAGGCUGCAGUAGCAAAAUGGGCCAAGAACAGGAAAACAGAGCAAGUCAGUCCCAUAGUUGGCAACGGGGUGGCGGCUUGCUGAUUGGUGGGUCCAGAGUCCAGAGACUGGGUCGGCGUGGAUUGCACUCUGUUAUGUAGAACGGCAAUGACAAGUGGGCCUAAUAGUGGAGGAAUGAGACUGAUGUACUUUAUGUUCUCGAGUAACAAAAAGUGACCGUUAUUCUCUCCAGUCGCUUAUCUCUUUUGGGUUCUCCCUUCCCCCUUUUUUCUGUGCUGUGACGGCGAUCAUAUCUUAGGUGACGGGGACAUAACAUUGUUGCAGCAGCUUGUGCUGACCGUUGUGGCGCUAUGUAAUCUGUGCUAGAUUUUUACUCCCUUCGUUCCAAAAUAAAUGACUCAG
rnacentral:lncRNA from 1 species